CACUAGCCUUUUUAAUUUUGAUUCCUUCGUCUCUUUUUUCCUACUAGGGUUCUAAUUUCCUCAUUUAUCUUUUUCUUUACUAGGGUUUGGAUCUGUGUUUCGUUUGCCAAAAUGGUGACCAUGCCUCAUUAUCUCUCUUUCUCUCGCUUCUCUUCUCCGCCAUUUGCAUAUUUUUUUGACCAAUCGUGAUUGCAAGAGUUGAAGAAGCAUGCAUCAGGUUGAUCCAAAGGAAUCAAAUAAAUCACAUUUCCUAACAGAUUCUCUCUCAGCUAUUUUACUUACUGCUUCUGUGGGAUUAAUGAUCUGAAUGUCAAACAUUUAAGCAUGUGAAAGGUUGUGAUGAUGCAAAGCAAGAGCUUGAGGAAGUUGUGGAGUACCUAAAAAAUCCAACUAAAUUUACUCCCCUUGGAGGAAAGUUGCCAAAGGGGAUUCUCUUGACAAGACCACCGGGAACUGGAAAAACUCUGCUAGCCAAGGACGUGGUUUAGCAAUGUUCAUAUCAGAAGAGUAAAAAAAAUUUGGAUCACAUCACAACAGGAGCAAGUAGUGAUAUUCACAUGGCUACUGAGCUUGCCCACUAUAUGGUGAUGUAGGGAAUGAUAUUUCCAUUUUUGGAAUUCAUGGACAGGUUCCAGGGGCAGAUCCGGUUGUACAAGAGCAAACCAAGUAACUUUCGCAUGGUACUAGAGGAGGUAAUGUGGCAAAAGAUGGUUUUCUGGAAUCACAGUUGGAAGCAGAGCGAGUAACUAAUGUAAAAGCUCAUCCCGAUGGACUUAUAGAGGCCGCAGGUUCAUGUGUUGAUCAAGAAUAUUACUGCAAUUAGUAUUGUUGCUGAGCAAAAGGCUAGUGCUAGAUUUGUUAUCAUGAGCAAUCCUUACGUAUUAACUGGAUACAAGCACAAUUGGAUUGAUUUGGUUAAUAUAGUUAUUAUCAGUCUUCACUUGGCUGCAAAUUGGUUGUACAAUGAUAAGUCUUGUUGAUUGUUAUAGUGAUGUAAAGGUUUGUCUAGUUGAUUGGAUUCCAAAAUAUAGUCAAUAUUCAUGUAAAUAAUAAAUUGUUAUUUGUUAUAAUGUUACUAUUUGUGAGCUUUAUACUUACUCACU